rnacentral:rRNA from 1 species
GACGAGCCACACGAACGUUAUUCGGAAUUACUGGGCUUAAAGGGUGCGUAGGCUGCGCGGAAAGUUGGGUGUGAAAUCCCUCGGCUCAACCGAGGAACUGCGCCCAAAACUGCCGUGCUCGAGGAAGAUAGAGGUAAGCGGAACUUACGGUGGAGCGGUGAAAUGCGUAGAUAUCUGGAGGAACACCGGUGGCGAAGGCGGCAUCCUGGACCAACACUGACACUGAGGAGCGAAAGCCAGGGGAGCAAACGGG